GUCCAGACUCCUACGGGAGGCAGCAGUGGGGGAUAUUGCACAAUGGGGGGAACCCUGAUGCAGCAACGCCGCGUGAGUGAAGAAGUAUUUCGGUAUGUAAAGCUCUCUCAGCAGGGAAGAAGAUGACGGUACCUGAAUAAGAAGCCCCGGCUAACUACGUGCCAGCAGCCGCGGUAAUACGUAGGGGGCAAGCGUUAUCCGGAUUUACUGGGUGUAAAGGGAGCGCAGACGGCAGUGCAAGUCUGGAGUGAAAGCCCGGGGCCCAACCCCGGAACUGCUCUGGAAACUGUGCGGCUAGAGUGCUGGAGGGGCAGGCGGAAUUCCUAGUGUAGCGGUGAGAUGCGUAGAUAUUAGGAGGAACACCAGUGGCGAAGGCGGCCUGCUGGACAGUAACUGACGUUGAGGCUCGAAAGCGUGGGGAGCAAACAGGAUUAGAUACCCGGGUAGA
rnacentral:rRNA from 1 species